rnacentral:lncRNA from 1 species
CCUGCGGGGCUAGAGGCUUGGAGGGCAGUACGAGCCGGCCCCUCCCUGCCUGAGCGUCUCGGGCCCCAGAGAGCCCCCCAGAUGGGAGCCAGAGGUGCCCUGGCCGGAUCCGGGACACACCCAUGGGUAGGGAGGCCGUGGGGCACCGGCCUAUGGCCAGCACCUGGCGUGGCUCCAGCUGUCCAGCAGGUCCUCGCUCCGCCUCCCAGCUUCCCGGCCCCAGAGGCCCUGUGUCUGGGGUCAUCCUGCCUCUGAGCCUUGCUUUCCCGUCUGGACAGGGGGAGUAGGGCGUCCCCGGUUGCCUCAUCCUAGCCUGGUGAGUGGAGGAGGGCGCGGGGUGGGGCGGCUCCGUGGUGGUCCUGCCCAGCAAGGCCCCGGGUUCCUGCCCCAGCACCUCGGGAGACAGAGCGGACCAGACACGCUUCUUAGCAGCACCCUCGCCCUGGCCGCAAUACGUUCUGCCCGGCCCCAGCCAACCCUCGCCCCACGCUGCUGAGCCCUGCAGGCCACCUGUCCCAGGCCUCGGCCAGACUUCCUGGGGGCGCAGCCUUGGAGACACCAGCGGGUCUCGUCCCCCCGCGUCUCCUCCUCCCUCUGCGGCUCCAGCUUCCCACUCUGUGGGUGGCUGGGGCUCCUGAGUCCCAGGUCAGCCCCCAUCUCCCUUUGUCCCCUGUUCUGGCCAUGGCAGGGCACCCACACUUGUCCCCAGGUGGCCCUGAGGCCUUGCUCAUGUCUGUCACUCAGGUCUGUGAAACACACCCCAGCAGGUGCUGACUUCCUGCCUGGGCCUCGACACUUGCUGUCAUUGCAGAAAUUAACGGUCACCAGUGAAGCUCGGCCGGCUGUGUUCAGUGUCCUGUGUGCCCACGUCCCACAGGUUCCCUGCCCUGUGCUCUGCCCUGUGAGCGCUGGCUGCCCGAGGUCACGUCCAGGACUCCUGUUCAGCCCCAGCAGGCCACAGCCCCUCUGCGUCUCCCUUCUCUCCCUGUGACGUUCUUUGUCCCCUCUCAUGGAGGUUGGCUUGAUUUCAGGGCAGACGGCCUCUCCUCAGAGCUCUGGCAAUGGUGCAGCCAUUUUUUCAAGACAAAUAUAAUGG